ensembl:lncRNA
GUCAGGCCACAAGUCUGCUCCAGAAACUUUGCCGUCCCAUGAAUGUGCUUCCAAGUCCAGCUAUGAACUGCUGGAGGUGCCGACUGAUACCGUAGAUUCUCCAGAGGUUCUACCGGUGACUGCACAACCCCCAGGACCAUCUGUUUGCUUCAUUGAACCCCCGCCUUACCAUGCUACGGCCAUAGGUGAAUGAAUCCUCGUCCUGCCCAGUCACGGCUAUGGAGGCCGCUCAUGAAUCCUCGUCCUGCCCAGUCACGGCUAUGGAGACUGCUCAUGAAUCUUCAUCCUUACCAGUCACGGCUAUGGAGGCCAUUUCAGAACUUUCAUCUCACCAAGUCACAGCUAUGGAAGCCAUUAACGAACUCUUGUCCAGUCCCGUCAUGGCUAUGGAGGCCAUUUAUAAACUCUCGCCCUUAUUUCGACUUAAGUCGUUAUUUCGACAUAAUAACUCGUUAUGUCGACUUAAGUCGUUAUGUCCUGUCACGGCUAAGGAGGCCGCCAAUGAAUCUUCAUCCAGUCAAGUCUCGGUCCUUGGGGCCAGGAAUCCUCUGUCUAUGUUGUCUGUCUCUGCUUCUUCCAGGCUCCAGUCCCAAGCAUGCUGUCCUGACCAGUUCGGUCCACCCUGGGGGGCAUCCACUCUGUCUACUCCACCCAGGAGGGUUCCAGGCCCGUCCACUCUGCCUGUUUUUUGUAUCUCACCCUCUCUUAGGUUCCGGUUACUACCCGGGGUCUCUGUUCUGUCGCCUGAUCCGCCCAGGUGGGCUUCGGCUCCAUCCGAUCCGCCCUGGUGGCCGUCUGCCUUGUCUGCUUCGCCCUGUUGGGCGUCUGUUUCACUCCCAUCUCUAUUCUUUCCACCAUGGCGUCCAGCUCUGCCAGUUCCACUCUGGUGCCCUGCUUCAAUCCCGUCUCUCCACCCCCUCAUGGACCUGGCCUUCCAUCCCUCCCCCUGUUCCGCCUCUGCUUCACCACCCUCCUGUAGUUAUGCUAGCAUUUGGAAGCCGCUCCUUGGGGAGGGGCUAUGUAAUGAUCCGGCCCAGGAUCAUUCCACCCAUCAACCACCAGAUGUCACCAUAUCAUCACUUGGACACAAGCACCUCUCAUACUGUUGCACCACACCCAAACUACAUCCCCCAUGAGUCACUGCAUCACUAAUCACCUUGCCACACCUGCACCUCAUUUACACACACAUAUAAGCAGCCCUCACACCUGGACACUUUGCGAAGUCUUGAUUUGCUAGUCAGUCAUUUCUGAGCGUUUUCUCCCUGUCUCCUGUUUCUCCUUCUAGUUUCCUGUUUGGC